UGCAAGUCGAACGGUAACAGAACUAGCUUGCUAGUUGCUGACGAGUGGCGGACGGGUGAGUAAUACUUAGGGAUCUGCCUCUGUGUGGGGGAUAACUAUUGGAAACGAUAGCUAAUACCGCAUAACGUCUACGGACCAAAGAGGGCUUCGGCUCUCGCGCAGAGAGGAACCUAAGCGAGAUUAGCUUGUUGGUGAGGUAAAGGCUCACCAAGGCGACGAUCUCUAGCUGUUCUGAGAGGAAGAUCAGCCACACUGGAACUGAGACACGGUCCAGACUCCUACGGGAGGCAGCAGUGGGGAAUAUUGCACAAUGGGGGCAACCCUGAUGCAGCCAUGCCGCGUGUGUGAAGAAGGCCUUCGGGUUGUAAAGCACUUUCAGUUGUGAGGAAAGGUUAGUAGUUAAUACCUGCUAGCUGUGACGUUAACAACAGAAGAAGCACCGGCUAACUCCGUGCCAGCAGCCGCGGUAAUACGGAGGGUGCGAGCGUUAAUCGGAAUUACUGGGCGUAAAGCGCACGCAGGCGGUCUGUUAAGCUAGAUGUGAAAGCCCCGCGCUCAACGUGGGAGGGUCAUUUAGAACUGGCAGACUA
rnacentral:rRNA from 1 species